UAUUGGUUACUAAUUUUAUAAUCUACUUUCCAUGUACUGUGGAAUUCAGCAAAGGAAUCUAUACAUGAUGAUGAUAAGAGGCAGAUCUCUUACCACCAGUGAUAGGAGAUACAAAUAUGGAACGAAGGAAGGCUAUGAAGAACCCUAGGUUUGAAAUUGAAAAUGGACACAGGAGUAUGCAUUCACACUUUUACAGACACAGGAGGUGGCCUGGAGAGGAAGAGAAAUGGAGUUAUCACAAAAAGGAAUCUAUAGUACUUGAAAACAAGCAAGAUACAGCAAGACAGAGAAAGAUGAACCUAAGAAGAAUAAGACUUUUUUGUUUUUAGUUUGGAUGACGAAGCAAAUAAUGGAACCUGUGACAGGAAAAUUGGUAUGUGAAGAUGAUUAAUUUAAUAUUUGGCAUUAUAAGGCUUACUGAAUGGUAAGAUAAAUAAUAAGAUAAUCAGUAAGAUAUUGCAGGUGUAGGACCUGAUCUCAGUAGAUACAAAAGGAAGUUCGGUUAUAAAACUUAGUCAGCAGAAGACGCCUACUGAUUCUGAUAACCCACAUUAACAUU
rnacentral:lncRNA from 1 species